UACAGAGGUCUCGAGCGUUGUUCGGAUUCAUUGGGCGUAAAGGGUGCGUAGGUGGCGGGGUAAGUCUGGUGUGAAAUCUCGGGGCUCAAUCCCGAAACUGCACUGGAUACUGCCUUGCUCGAGUACUGGAGAGGAGAUUGGAAUUUACGGUGUAGCAGUGAAAUGCGUAGAUAUCGUAAGGAAGACCAGUGGCGAAGGCGAAUCUCUGGACAGUUACUGACACUGAGGCACGAAGGCCAGGGGAGCAAACGGG
rnacentral:rRNA from 1 species